UCACCACUUUCUCGGUCUCUCCAGUGAAAGUAGAGGCGGCUGACUCUCUCCACUCCUCACUUUCUUCCUCCGCCAGCCGCCUCCUCUGUAGCACGGCGCCUCCUCUACAGCACGCCGCAUCCUCUGCCGCCACGACGUCGCCCGGCGCCCCCACCCACGCCACCACCACCACCACCACCACGGCCUCGCCCCGUCUCCUCCUAUCCCCAGCAGGGCCUCGCCCCGCCGGCCCUUAUCCCCAGCACGGCCUCGCCCCGCCCCCUCCUCUCACCACCGCGGCCUUGCCUCGCCGCCAACCCCGGGGAUCUUCCCUAGAUCGACUCUGCUGCCUUCAUCCUACUGCCCCAGAGGAGAUCGAGAUGCGGGAGCGGGCAUAUCGAAUUGGAUCGAGAUCUAGUGCGUCGACGUGCCUGCCGUAGUCAUCGCCUCCCGUGCUUGGCUCAAACAGUCGCUCUGGGAAGGAGUUCGCAGCUCGCGUACGUGCUCUACAGGAUCAUCCUGAUCUCUCUGUCGCCGCUGUUGUCACAAAGGCUCGCAAUCGACCAGACUAUUUGCAGAGGACACUUCAAUCUAUCCUCAAGUAUCACAAAGCGGUUGCUUCAUAGUUCCCACUAUUUAUAUCACAGGAUGGUACAAAUGGAGAAGUAAAAAAAUAAGGCCUGGAGUUAUACCCAAAUAACAUUUGUGCAGGUGUGGAAAGAAACACUUGCUCUAUGCUCAUUGCCUAGUGGAUUGAAGUGGCGGUGGUAACACAGUCAGUUGGGAGGACCCAAUGGCAGAGUCGAUAUUAUUGACAUUUUCCUUGUUAGAAACGGUAGUAUCUGGUGUUCUUAAUGAAUUUGGACCAUGAAGUGGAGUCUGAUCACUCAUUAUCACAUCAACAGGUAUGCCUGCAUCAUAAUUGUAUGUACAAUAUCAGCUGUUGACACACAAACGCCGGUAUUAUGGUUGGAUGUAGGAGAACACAUGACCUUUGGCAGCUGGUGUGUGUCGUUGCUGGGUGAUAGCAGACUGCGCACUGGGCCUCUCCGCAGUGUCAAAACAUGUCCAAAAGAACACUUAAUUAACAUGAUUUUACAUGUGAUUGAUGAAUUUGUGAUAAAAAACAGAGAAAAUGGAGUAACCAGGCGACAUGGCCCUGUGUGGCUUAGAUGGAGUGUUGAUUCCAUUUAGAAUAGCAGCCGUAGCUUUCUUACGAUCCCUUGCCUCCUGUCUUUUCUUUAAUAUUGUAUCCCUGUUUAGUGCAUACCUCUCCCUUUCCCUCUGUCUCUUCAGCUCUUUUGGAUUUGUUUUUUGACCUGUGAGACAAUGACAUAUUCUGGAUUUACAAGAUCUAAGUAGGUAAGAGUAGGUGAUAUAUGUAUUUACCUGAACUGUUGUUGUUGUUCGUCAAGUCCUGAAAGGGAGUACGUACCCCACUACGUUGAGAGGAUGCCAUAUUGUCUUCUCAAUGGUUCUUUUUGUGAAACACUUAUUCAACCCUUCGUCAACUCAGUUUGUUCAUGAUGUACUGUAAGUAUCAAAUUUCACAGUGCAAAUUACAGACUGUCAGAUUCAAAGAGCAAUUUCCUUUGUCUUUUGUCAGAUCAUAAGACGUGCAGUAUAAAUGGAUCUAACCUGUGGCACUGGCAGGUCGAGAUGCUGCUGCCCACACGGGGUGAUGACACCAGAGGUAGGGCAGCGCGCCGGGUCGAGGACGUCGCGGACAGGGCGAGGGCGGCGUGGCGAGGAGAGGUAGGGAAGCAAGGCGGGUCGAGGAUGUCGCGGACACCAGGGGCGAGGGCGGCUGGCCGAGGCAAGGUUCGUGGCGUGAUGGCAGCGUUGAUGGUGGAGGUCGUGGCGUGGUGGCGGCUUUGAUCAUGGAGGUUCUGUUUAAUUCCCCGGGGGUGUCAUCGCUGGGCUGUCAAAUCCUGAAGGGAGGAGUCUGCCGGCAGAACAUUUGUUUUGAACCGUAGAUCUGUUUGUAGUACGGUGGAUGUAACAUGGACCGUUGGAUGCAACCAUGUGGGUUUGAUCGGACGUUGUGGGUUAUCCUGUGUGCACUUUCUUGGGUGCACGUAGGGGAAGUCACGUUUGGUCUUUUAGUAGUAGUAUAGAUAUAGAAGAACGGAACCGAGAUUUGAGA